rnacentral:rRNA from 1 species
GAUGAACGCUGGCGGCGUGCCUAAUACAUGCAAGUCGAGCGAACGGACGAGAAGCUUGCUUCUCUGAUGUUAGCGGCGGACGGGUGAGUAACACGUGGAUAACCUCCCUAUAAGACUGGGAUAACUUCGGGAAACCGGAGCUAAUACCGUAUGAUAUUUUGAACCGCAUGGUUCAUAAGUGAAAGACGGUCUUGCUGUCACUUAUAGAUGGAUCCGCGCUGCAUUAGCUAGUUGGUAAGGUAACGGCUUACCAAGGCAACGAUGCAUAGCCGACCUGAGAGGGUGAUCGGCCACACGGGAACUGAGACACGGUCCAGACUCCUACGGGAGGCAGCAGUAGGGAAUCUUCCGCAAUGGGCGAAAGCCUGACGGAGCAACGCCGCGUGAGUGAUGAAGGUCUUCGGAUCGUAAAACUCUGUUAUUAGGGAAGAACAUAUGUGUAAGUAACUGUGCACAUCUUGACGGUAACUAAUCAGAAAGCCACGGCUAACUACGUG